ACACUCCUGCGGGAGGCAGCAGUGGGGAAUUUUGGACAAUGGGCGAAAGCCUGAUCCAGCAAUGCCGCGUGAGUGAAGAAGGCCUUCGGGUUGUAAAGCUCUUUUGUCAGGGAAGAAACGGUGAGAGCUAAUAUCUCUUGCUAAUGACGGUACCUGAAGAAUAAGCACCGGCUAACUACGUGCCAGCAGCCGCGGUAAUACGUAGGGUGCAAGCGUUAAUCGGAAUUACUGGGCGUAAAGCGUGCGCAGGCGGUUUUGUAAGUCUGAUGUGAAAUCCCCGGGCUCAACCUGGGAAUUGCAUUGGAGACUGCAAGGCUAGAAUCUGGCAGAGGGGGGUAGAAUUCCACGUGUAGCAGUGAAAUGCGUAGAUAUGUGGAGGAACACCGAUGGCGAAGGCAGCCCCCCGGGUCAAGAUUGACGCUCAUGCACGAAAGCGUGGGGAGCAAACAGGAUUAGAUACCCUUGUAGUCCCA
rnacentral:rRNA from 1 species